UACAGAGGGUGCAAGCGUUAAUCGGAAUUACUGGGCGUAAAGCGUGCGCAGGCGGUUGUGCAAGACAGAUGUGAAAUCCCCGGGCUUAACCUGGGAACUGCAUUUGUGACUGCACGGCUGGAGUGCGGCAGAGGGGGAUGGAAUUCCGCGUGUAGCAGUGAAAUGCGUAGAUAUGCGGAGGAACACCGAUGGCGAAGGCAAUCCCCUGGGCCUGCACUGACGCUCAUGCACGAAAGCGUGGGGAGCAAACAGG
rnacentral:rRNA from 1 species